UCUCCCAUAGCUUAGUUGGUAGAGCGCAAUGCUUAUAUGACGACAUUCACCCCCCGUGGGUGAAGUCGGUAUACUGUGGUAGCACACCCCUCUCUGAGGUUACGUUGAUGUCAGGGGUUCGAGCCCCCUUGGGAGAA
rnacentral:tRNA from 3 species